GGCAUCAGGACCUUGCAAGGUACUCACAUACCAAAUAUAGUUAUCCUAUUACUUAUAAUAAGGGAGAAUUUAACAUUACAAAAAAUCUUAGCUUUUUUCAAGUAGUCUCUGAACCAUGACAAUGAGGUCAAGGACAUUGGACAUGUGAAUGGCGUAAACUUCGUAACAUGAGGCAUCCAUAUACAAAGUAUGAAGCAUCCAGG
rnacentral:lncRNA from 1 species